GGGAACGGCGCAGUGUGUGUCAUUUCCCGAUAAGCCCGGUGAUUUUGCUCGAAUGGGGAAGAAGAACCCUAUGUUAGUUCUCUCCUUAGGGCUCUUUUGAAACUCUCUCUCUCUCCCUCUCCAAUUCCCUUACAUUCCCCCACAUCACCGGAUUUUCCUUUCACUUUCUCACCGACCAAACAAACGAACCAGCCCUAUUCCUCUCUCUCUCUCUCUCUCUCUCUCUCUCUCUCUCUCUCUCUCUAUAUAUAUAUAUAUAUAAAAUAUAUGUCUGUCCUCUUCGACCAGUCCCGUACUUCUGUACUGGAUAAAAAACUACGAGUGAACUAAAAGUGACGGGAAAGAACUGAAACAAAGAAACAAUUAUUGGAAACUCGAACUGCACCAAGUCCGCCCCCUUGACGGGUGUUCCGGGAACACAGAGCUUCCAAUUAGAAAGGUUGUGAUUCAAGGAGCUUUAGAACCACAGAUCUGCUGUGAGCUCUGGGUGCUUAUACAAAUUGUAAAUCAAACGAAGUUUCUCAAUAACUAUAACAAAAACAAAGCCGAGGAACUGAGAGCUUAACACCUGUCAGACUCCGACCAAUCUUCAAAGGGGGCUGUGAGGAGGCUGAGGCUCUGAGGCCGAUUCAGGCUUUGCUUUUGAAAGGCGGUCUCUGGUGUGGUCUGCGACUGCAAAAAGCUUAAGCAAGAGCUACUGCUAGCCUUCAAUGACUUGGACGGUGAUAUAUCGAUCGGAAGUGUAAAAAAAUGCCUUUUUAAUCACUAAACAGCCAAAGGUACUCUCUGAAUUAUCGUCAUCAAUAUGCAUAGGACACUGCAACCCCACUUGCACUCUCAUCACACCUCUUUCUCCCUCUAGGAUAAAAAAAAAUCAAUUUUCUCUCUCCAUCUCUCUAUUUAUAUUUCUCUCAAGAAGUAGCAGAAGGAUAAGAGCAAAAAAAAACGCAGUAGGUGUGUUCAAUUGUACGAGUUUCUGUUUGAGAAAGGCAUGAAACUGGUAUGGAGGUGGAGGAUAUUCAGCAGGCACCAGCUUGUAAGUUCCCAAGGAUUGGAAAUGGCAGAAAUGAUUCUGGAAAGAUAGGCUCUAAAGGGGUUCCUGACCACUACCCAGAUGAUGAAGAAGAUGGAGAACCCAACAGGGUUGGCCCAGGAAGCGAUGCCGGUGGGAAUGUCAACCGGCUUUGCGGCUGGAACCGUUCCCGCAUCAUUAGGGUUUCUCGGGCCUCGGGUGGCAAGGAUCGCCACAGCAAGGUCUGGACGUCCAAGGGUUUGAGAGACCGGAGGGUUAGACUAUCGGUUACCACGGCGAUUCAGUUCUAUGAUCUUCAAGAUCGGCUGGGUGUCGAUCAGCCGAGCAAAGCUGUGGAGUGGCUGAUCAAGGCGGCGGCCGAUGCUAUUGCUGAGCUUCCUUCACUAAAUGCUUCUUUUCCCGAUACCCCGAAGCAACUGAGCGACGAGAAGCGGGCGAACGGGGCUACGGAACAAGGGUUUGAUUCAGCUGAGGUUGAGUUAGAUGGUGACCCCAAUUUCCAAAACCAAAGCCAGCAUCUUUCUUUGUCUAAGUCCGCUUGUAGCAGCACCUCGGAGACGAGCAAGGGCUCCGGUUUGUCGCUCUCGCGGUCCGAAAUCAGGGUCAAGGCUCGUGAGCGGGCAAGGGAAAGAGCAGCUAAAGAGAAAGAGAAGGAAAAUGACUCCCGCAUUGCUCAAAACGUGAACCAGAUUUCCCAAAAUGCUUCGUUUACGGAGCUUCUCACCGGCGGAAUCAGCAGUGUUAACAACAAUGCAAAUUGUCCCACUCGCUCAGCGCAUCAAAACACCGGCGGUGAGACUAAUUUGUUUCAUAAGGCGGCGGCGAGGCAGUGGCCUUGUUCAACACCAAUGGACUACUUCGACUCGGGGCUUCUGGGGCCUUCUUCCCGAGCCCAUCACUCGUCUGGGUUUUCAGGUCAAAUCCAUCUGGGAAAUUCCCUUCCAAUGACGAUGUCGGUUCCGGCGUUCAAUUUAUCAGGGGAUAAUCAUUCAGAGCUGCAACAUUUCUCUUUCGUUCCUGACCAUCUCAUCCCGGUGGCUGCGGCGACAUCACAGCCCGGCGCUGGGCUGGUUGACUACAACCUCAAUUUCACCAUUUCAUCCGGCCAGCUUGCUGGUUACAAUAAUAGGGGGACCCUUCAGUCCAAUUCACCGUCUCUUUUGCCUCACCUCCAGAGGUUUUCUGCUAUAGACGGACCAAACGUGCCCUUCUUCAUGGCUUCGGCGCCUUCAGCGUCUUUAGCCAUGGAGAAUCACCAUCACCACCAUUUCUCACCUGGAAUAUUCGACGGUCGCUUGCAGCUCAGCUAUGGCGACGCUAGCAGACAUUCAGACCAGAAGGGAAAAGGAAAGAACUGAGUUCCUGUUAGAUCAACAAUCCUCUUUGCCCAUCUUCUUCCUGGUGUUUGCUUGUGUAUUGGCGAGGCCAUGUGUUAAGGCACUGAAUGAGUACUGGAGCAAGGGAAAUAAUUAUGAACUGAGGAGAUCAUCAUCAUCAUCUAAGCGCGCGCUGGCCAGGGGCCAGCAGGCAAGACGUACGUACUUGGGAGAGCAAAUGCACGUACGCCUUAGCUGCAUAGCUUAAUACCCCCACCAUGCAAUUACGUUUUACGCUUUUGAAAUUGUUUUUUUACGUCUGAUUUCAAGUCAUUCGGCUUGCCUGGAUAUAUUUAUAUAUGAUCAUCAUGAUCUAGUCGAGCCUAGCUCGCAAUGUUGUGUGUUUUUAAUUAAAUUUGACAUUACAAUUCAAUUGAAGUUAUUCUUUUCCA